rnacentral:tRNA from 1 species
GGUGGAGUAGUUUAAAAAAAACAUAAAUUUUGUAAAUUUAAGAUGGCCACCUUAACCC